GCUGUGAUGAUAUUUUUUAGCGUGUUAGACUGCUGAUGCAGAUGAAGAGACACUAUAUCUGAGC